rnacentral:rRNA from 1 species
UACGGGGGGGGCAAGCGUUGUUCGGAAUUACUGGGCGUAAAGGGCCAGUAGGCGGCCAACUAAGUCCGACGUGAAAUCCCAAGGCUUAACCUUGGAACUGCGUCGGAUACUGGAUGGCUUGAAUUCGGGAGAGGGAUGCAGAAUUCCAGGUGUAGCGGUGAAAUGCGUAGAUAUCGGAAGGAACACCAGUGGCGAAAGCGGCUUCCUGGUCCAGCACCGACGUUCAGGCACGAAAGCGUGGGGAGCAAACAGG